rnacentral:rRNA from 1 species
GGGGAAUCUUGCACAAUGGGCGAAAGCCUGAUGCAGCGACGCCGCGUGGGGGAUGAAGCUUUUCGGAGUGUAAACCCCUGUUGCCCGGGGCGAACAUCCUGUUUCGACGGGACUGACGGUACCGGGUGAGGAAGCACCGGCUACCUCCGUGCCAGCAGCCGCGGUAAUACGGAGGGUGCGAGCGUUGUCCGGAAUCACUGGGCGUAAAGGGCGCGUAGGUGGCCGAGCAAGGUCGCGGUGAAAGCCCGGGGCUCAACCCCGGGUCGGCCGUGGCAACUAUUUGGCUUGAGCACUGUAGGGGCGGGUGGAAUUCCGGGUGUAGCGGUGGAAUGCGUAGAGAUCCGGAAGAACACCGGUGGCGAAGGCGGCCCGCUGGGCAGGAAGGGGGAGCAAUCCUCCGGCUGACACUGAGGCGCGACAGCGUGGGGAGCAAAC